UACGUAGGGGGCAAGCGUUGUCCGGAUUUAUUGGGCGUAAAGAGCGUGUAGGCGGCCAUGCAGGUCCGUUGUGAAAACUCGAGGCUCAACCUCGAGACGCCGGUGGAAACCGUGUGGCUAGAGUCCGGAAGAGGAGAGUGGAAUUCCUGGUGUAGCGGUGAAAUGCGCAGAUAUCAGGAAGAACACCCGUGGCGAAGGGCGGCUCUCUGGGACGUGACUGACGCUGAGACGCGAAAGCGUGGGGAGGCAAACAGG
rnacentral:rRNA from 1 species